GGGUCAGUAGGUUGGUCGUGCCACCGGUACGUACUGGUCUCACUGACUCCUCCUUCCUGAAGAACCGUAAUGCCAUUAAUUUGGUGUUGCGGGGAAACAGGACUGUUACUUUGAAAAAAUUAGAGUGUUUAAAGCAAGCUAACGCUUGAAUACAUUAGCAUGGAAUGAUGAAAUAGGACGAUCGAUCCUAUUUUGUUGGUUUCUAGGAUUGACGUA
rnacentral:rRNA from 1 species